AACGGCAUGAAAAAAGCAAUAGAACAGACGAACUUUCUAAAUAAGUUUAAAUAUAUAAGAAAUAAGCACAUAAAUAAUGAAAGAAGACAAAGAUAAGGAAGAAACAAGGAAGAUUCAGCCCCUCUCUAGUAGUCAGCAGCCUACGAGUUCUCACGGGCUGAUCCUGGAAUAAACCCUGUUUUUAACCAUGACCUCGGGCCUCGUGUCUACUACUUGGGGGAGCUACAUCCAGCCCUUCGUGGAGGCCAAAUGACUUCUCUGAAGCUGUUAUCACUGAAGCAAAGUUCCUUAAUGCUGGUGCUGCUUCUGCAGUGUCAGGGAGAUCUGCUGGCACCAAAUGGAAAAGGCAGGUCGAGCAAGGCAAAGGGCCUGUGGACAAGAAAGCUCGUGGAGAGGUGACUGUUCUCCCUCCUGAAGAGCUCAAGAGGAUCUACCUGUCAAGAAACAGGCUGGAGCAAUGGUGCCACACCCCCUUCUUUGCCACCACUGUGACUGGCUGCUAAGUCAGGGUAGCUAUUAAUGACAGCAGCAGUGACCCACUGCACUGUGUUGCUGAAAUUGUGUCUGUGGUGGAGACGGAGCAGGUCUACCAGCUUGGAUCCAUGCGGACAAACCUGGUAUUUCAACUCAGGCACGCUCGUACUGAGCAGAUCGUGACUGUCAGUUCUGCAUCCAGCCAGGAAUUCACAGAAACUGAGUUGAUGCAGUGGAAACUGAAGAUGAUGGCUGCUGGGAUACAAGUUCUAACUCCAGUCAAAAUCACCCCGAAGGAGCAGUCCAUAACAGAAGCCCUGGAUCACACAUUCUCUCAAAAAGUGAUCGAUUUUAUGUGGCAAGGAAGAACAGAUUCCAACAGAUUCCAAGCAGCACCUCUGAAUUUUGCCAAGAGGAAAAUACAGAUGAACAGGACAGUAUAAGAAUGUGCAGUCAUACUGACAGGGUGAAAGAAAUCCACGAUGAAGUUAAACAAGGAGACAAAAGAACUUGACAGAAGACUACAGAGGUCAAUCUGAAGAGCAGACCCUCUUCCAUUGUCAAGUCCAGGAGAAAAUCCCCUCCUCAAGCGCACACUGAUGAUUAUCAGGGAGUAGGCCCUUUCAUCAAGAGAAAGACCAGACCCUUCACGAUCACAAGUCUUAAAAUGAACUCCAUGAAGCUGUAUACGCUGAGCUCGACCUGUGGGUCCCCAUCAGAGGACACCAGCUCUGUUUGAGGACUGACCACCUCCUCCUCC